CCUACGGGAGGCAGCAGUAAGGAAUAUUGGUCAAUGGACGAAAGUCUGAACCAGCCAUGCCGCGUGAAGGAUUAAGGCCCUCUGGGUUGUAAACUUCUUUUAUCUGGGACGAAAAAAGGGUAUUCUUACUCACUUGACGGUACCAGAGGAAUAAGCACCGGCUAACUCCGUGCCAGCAGCCGCGGUAAUACGGAGGGUGCAAGCGUUAUCCGGAUUUACUGGGUUUAAAGGGUGCGUAGGUGGGCUUGUAAGUCAGUGGUGAAAUCUCCGGGCUUAACCCGGAAACUGCCAUUGAUACUAUAGGUCUUGAAUUAUCUGGAGGUAAGCGGAAUAUGUCAUGUAGCGGUGAAAUGCUUAGAUAUGACAUAGAACACCAAUUGCGAAGGCAGCUUACUACGGAUAUAUUGACACUGAGGCACGAAAGCGUGGGGAUCAAACAGGAUUAGAUACCCUGGUAGUCCACGCCCUAAACGAUGGAUACUCGACAUCAGCGAUACACUGUUGGUGUCUGAGCGAAAGCAUUAAGUAUCCACCUGGGAAGUACGAUCGCAGAUUGAAACUCAAAGGAAUUGACGGCUGAGACGNGCGAGACGACGACGAGGAGAGG
rnacentral:rRNA from 1 species